AUUGAACGCUGGCGGCAUGCCUAACACAUGCAAGUCGAACGGCAACAGGUUAUCGGCUGGCGCUGAGUGGCGGACGGGUGCGUAAUACAGCGGAACGUGUCCAGACCUGGGGUUUAACGAGGCGUAAGGUAUGCUAACAUACCCUAAGAUCUAAGGCUGAAUGCGGGGGACAGCAGGGGCUCGUCCGACCGGGCGGGACGGAGGGAGCCGAUGUAAGAUUAGGUAGUUGGGGGGAUAAAGGCUCACCAAGCCGACGAUCCGUAGCUGGUCUGAGAGGACGAUCAGCCACACUGGAACUGAGACACGGCCCAGACUCCUACGGGAGGCAGCAGUGGGGAAUAUUGGACAAUGGGCGAAAGCCUGAUCCAGCAAUGCCGCGUGCGGGAUGAAGGCCUUCGGGUUGUAAACUGCUUUUGUGCGGAACGAAAAGCCUCAGGCUAAUACCUGGCGGACAUGACGGUACCGAAAGAAUAAGCACCGGCUAACUACGUG
rnacentral:rRNA from 1 species